GCAAAGGACUGGACGUCAUAGGGGUUGAAGCACCAGCUGAUAAAUACUCAGCUUGAACAUGGAAGCCUGGUGGUAAAUGAGGUUGGACAUCUAUCAUAGAGCUAACAAAUGGAGAAGAUUGGCUCAAAAUGCGAUCAGCAUUCUGAGACAAGGAUGCCAUUGUCACAGGAGGCGGAGUUGGUGGUAAUGGUGGCUGCAUUUUCGGGUCAAAAUAUCCCUGGGAACCAAUGUUUGGGG
rnacentral:misc_RNA from 1 species